rnacentral:rRNA from 1 species
ACUGCUCAGUAACACGUGGACAACCUGCCCUUUAGGUUGGGUAUAAACCCGGGAAACUGGGUAUAAUACCCGAUAGGUCUCGAUUGCUGGAAUGCAUCGAGAUUUAAAGCUCCGGCGCCUAAGGAUGGGUCUGCGGCCUAUCAGGUAGUAGUGGGUGUAGCGUACCUACUAGCCUACGACGGGUACGGGUUGUGAGAGCAAGAGCCCGGAGAUGGAUUCUGAGACACGAAUCCAGGCCCUACGGGGUGCAGCAGGCGCGAAAACUUUACAAUGCUGGCAACAGCGAUAAGGGAACCUCGAGUGCCAGGUUACAAAUCUGGCUGUCGAGAUGCCUAAAAAGCAUUUCAUAGCAAGGGCCGGGCAAGACCGGUGCCAGCCGCCGCGGUAACACCGGCGGCUCGAGUGGUAACCGUUAUUAUUGGGUCUAAAGGGUCUGUAGCCGGCCGGAUAAGUCUCUUGAGAAAUCUGGCAGCUUAACUGUCAGGCUUUCAGGAGAUACUGUCUGGCUCGAGGCCGGGAGAGGUGAGAGGUACUUCAGGGGUAGGGGUGAAAUCUUGUAAUCCUUGAAGGACCACCAGUGGCGAAGGCGUCUCACCAGAACGGACCUGACGGCAAGGGACGAAAGCUAGGGGCACGAACCGGAUUAGAUACCCGGGUAGUCCUAGCCGUAAACGAUACUCGCUAGGUGUCAGCCACGGUGCGACCGUUGUCGGUGCCGUAGGGAAGCCGUGAAGCGAGCCACCUGGGAAGUACGGCCGCAAGGCUGAAACUUAAAGGAAUUGGCGGGGGAGCAC